rnacentral:rRNA from 1 species
UACGUAGGGUCCGAGCGUUGUCCGGAAUUAUUGGGCGUAAAGGGCUCGUAGGCGGUGUGUCACGUCGGCCGUGAAAACCUGCAGCUUAACUGUGGGCGUGCGGUCGAUACGGGCAGGCUGGAGUUCGGUAGGGGAGACUGGAAUUCCUGGUGUAGCGGUGAAAUGCGCAGAUAUCAGGAGGAACACCGGUGGCGAAGGCGGGUCUCUGGGCCGAUACUGACGCUGAGGAGCGAAAGCGUGGGGAGCGAACAGG